UACGUAGGGAGCUAGCGUUGUCCGGAAUCAUUGGGCGUAAAGGGUUCGUAGGUGGCCUACUAAGUCAGACGUGAAAUCCCUCGGCUCAACCGGGGAACUGCGUCUGAGACUGGAAGGCUUGAGUGCAGGAGAGGAACGCGGAAUUCCAGGUGUAGCGGUGAAAUGCGUAGAUAUCUGGAGGAACACCGGUGGCGAAGGCGGCGUUCUGGACUGCAACUGACACUGAGGAACGAAAGCCAGGGGAGCAAACGGG
rnacentral:rRNA from 1 species